rnacentral:rRNA from 1 species
CCUACGGGUGGCUGCAGUGAGGAAUUUUCCGCAAUGGGCGCAAGCCUGACGGAGCGACGCCGCGUGAGGGAUGACGGCCUUCGGGUUGUAAACCUCUUUUAUUAAGGAAAAAGGCAAUCGUGCUAACACCACGGUUGUUUGAUGGUACUUAUUGAAUAAGCCCCGGCUAACUACGUGCCAGCAGCCGCGGUAAUACGUAGGGGGCGAGCGUUGUCCGGAGUUACUGGGCGUAAAGAGCGUGUAGGCGGUUGAAAAAGUCAGGUGUGAAAUUCUUC